GGAGUGCCCUGGGGCAGGGCUGGGAAUGAGAGGGUGACCCUGGAGAGGAGCAGCGUGCAGGGGCCAGCAGGUGGAGAAGGUACAAAGAAACCCAAGGCCCUUAACGUGGGCAGCUCUGGGAAGCUUUAGGUGAAGUUAAGGCAAAGCUCACGCCUCCCAUAUUCCAGGAGGCAAAGAGAUCUCCCAGCUAGGGGGCUCAUCUUUCAUUCCAAAGAGCCUGUAUUUACUGGGGAUUUUCUAUACGUAAGACUCUGGUCUGCUUGGGAUACUAACAAGCAAACAAGGCCCAUUCCUGAAAUGCAAAGGUUUACACCUUACUGAGAAAGUUGAAGCUCAAAGAAAUAUAGGACAGCAAGCACCAAAUGUCAAAAAACAUUCAAGCAAAUGCUCCAGGAGCCGAAGGAGAAGAGGGCCUGGAGCGGUUGGGAAAGGUAUCAGGAGGAGUAGGACCCUCGGUAGGCUCUUAAACAAAGGAAAGGCAGUGGCAGAGGACGUUGAGGGUGUUCAUGCUGUGGCUGGGGUGGCAGGUCAGUUUCUCUGGAGCACAGAAGAUGCUGGGGAAUGUGGGAAAUAGUACAGGUUGGUGAAUGGUAGGGUAAUGAAUUCGGGUUGUACUCUGAAUCGAGUGGUGAUAAGAUUUUCUUCAACAGGAGAAUGUACAAAAAAUGGUAUUUUGUCGGUUUUAGAAUCAAAAAUAUGUUCAAAUCCUGGCUUAUUACACUUUUAUAAGAUGAUACCAGUAAUUACUGUAUGAGGGAGCUGUAAGGAUGAAGCACUUGGAACUUAAUAGAGGUUGCUUGUGAGUUUCCUUCAGAAGGUAGAGAAUAAUGACCAGAAGAGGCAGAGAUGAGUUGGGAGACUAUUGCAAUACGUCACUUCAAGAAAAUAAUGAGUGCAAUAAUAGUUAACACUUAUGGAAUGCCUGCUACACGGACCAGCCAUGGGCUAAGCACUUUACCUGAAUUCUGUCUCAUUUAAUCCUGAUCGAAAAACCCUACAGAACAGUUACAGUUAUUUCAAUUUAGGAAAAGGAGGUGACAGUUCUGAGGAAGGGUAUGGCUGAUAAGUGGCAUGCCUAGAACAAUAUGGCCUCAGAACCCAUUUUUUUUUUUUUUUUUUAAGAUGACCUGAAAGGUAAGAGACAGUGGUAUCAAAGAAGGAGGAAAGGCCAACUCAGAAAGAGGAAUGGCUGUCUUCACAGAACCGGAGUCAUCAGGAAAAGGAAGUGGCUUGGGGGAGAUGACAGAAGUUGAGUUUGGGGCUUGCUGAGGUUGGAAGUGACCACCAGUCACUGAGAUGGGUACAGAAAUGAGUUCGGAAGAGGGUGAAGCAAGGAUAUGCUGGAACUCUUCAGGUCAAGUACAAUAUUUGAAUCUGAAAGGGAAGAAUAAAAAAGAACAAAAGACAACAGGCCCCAUCUUGGGGCAUCUGUGAAGAGCAAUUACAGGAGUCUGAAGAAGAGUCUAGAAGACUGAAGAGCCAGGAUAGAGGAGUGCCAGGUGAAGGGUUGGAGAGCCCCUGAGAGAUGGGAGGGGUCGGCAGUCUCAGGAGAUCAAAGGGGCUAAAGACUGGCAAACACCACUGAAUGGCUCACAGUCCAGCAGGAUGGGAGAGAUAGGUCAUCGUGGUUACAGAAGUUAUGACACAGAUGAGGACAAGGCCUUGUUCUCACUGAAGAAAGACAAUGAACAGCCCAAUUUUGGAAGAUUUGGGAGUGGAUAUUUUCCAGUGUGUAUUGGGGAGGGAAAUGAAGCGGACGGGCCUGGGCUUUUCUUUGUUUUUUUGAGGCAGGGUCUUGUUAUGUAGUUGUCUGGCCUUGAACUCACUGUGUAGGCCCUGCUGGCCUGGAACUUGUAGUGAGCCUCUUGCCUCAGCCUCCUGAGUGCUGGGAUACGUGUGCCCACUACCUGGCCUAGCAAACUCAUGUCCUCUACCUAAUGCCAAAUGCUCUUGACCAGCAAAUGAUGUUACAGAGCUAGAGCAGUCCGCCAUGAGCCAGCUACCAGGGAGGGGUACUAGAUGUGGAUUGGCAGUAGGUAACUGCAAACAAGAAAAAGAACAGGCUGACAAGAGUGAAUGGGUACUUAUCAAAUGAGUUCCUAAGGUAGUUCUUAGUAAGAGGAAGGUCCACAAACCAUUGUGAAGUCACUUCAAAAAUUAACAACAGUUUAGGCUUUAGAAUAAUACCAGACAAUGGAGUCACCAGAGCUGACUUCUGGGCCUUCAAUGAUCAUGAUAAGUAUGAGAUAAAAGAGAAAAAAGGCUGAGUGUGGUGGUACAUGCUUUGUAACCCCAGCAACACUCAGGAGGUUGAGGCAGGAGGAUCACCAUGAGUUUAAGGCCAGCCUGGACUACACAUGAGACCUUGUCUCAAAAACCAAACCAAAACCAACACAAAACAGAACAACCAAAGCAGAAGAGAGCCCAUGAUUUAAAGCCUGGAAAUCACUAACUUCCGUGUGCUUUCAUCAAGUCAGUCUCUUUGAGUCUUUGUUUCCUCUUGUGUAAAAUGAAACUGAUAUCCCCUGUCUUCUUCAACUCAUAGAGACCCAAGAAUGGUUAGGACUCACUUUUUAAAAUGAUAUGGUCAAGUGACCAAAUGUCAAGGAAAACUUAUAUAUUGAGGACUUACAAAUUCCCAGCUUGACCCUCAUUUUGUAUUGUUUCUCUCUGUGAAUCUUGGGUCAGAUCUCUUCUCAACUGUGCAUAUCAACUGAUCAUUUUGGAGGUGUCUAUCUAGAGGCUGGCUGAACUGUUGAUUUGCCCUGGAAUUUACACGAUUUCAUCCCCCUUCAAGAUUAGGGGAACCAAAAGAAGAGGUUUACAGGGAUAUUCAGCUAUACCCAGAAGCCUUGAAUCACGGUUCUAAUCCUGUGAUCACCUGAAUUCCAAGAAAGGAGGAGCCAGGGCCUCCACCACAGAGACCAUCGUGUUCUAUGGACACAACCAUCCCUCAACGGAGAAGAUUCCAGAGCCAUGGUACCAGAGCUGAGACCAAGUGGAGUCCAGCCCACUUCCUAAUCUUUGAAAACUGGCCUGCUCCCUUUGUGGAUGAGCCAGUCUGAAUCCCAGUGAGAGUGUGCCCCCUCCAGCUACUUAUGCUGGAGGCCUUUCCUCUAACUUUCCAAUUAAUUUUUUUAUCUGUUAAAAAAAACAAAAACCGGGUCAAUCCCCGGUACCGAUAAAAAGGAAGAAGAUGGGGAUUUAGCUCAGUGGCACAAGCGCCUGCUUUGCAAGCACAUGGUCAUGAGUUUGAUCCCCAGUACCGAUUAAAAAAACAAAAACAAAAACCUAUGAUAUUGAUAAUCUUAUCAAGUAAUAUUAUAUCACUGCCAGAGCUUACUGUUUCCUCCACUUCUUAUUUAUUUAUUGAGUACACAUUUAUUGUGUAUCUCCUGAGUGCUUUUUUUUUUCUUUUUAAAGUAGAAAGAAUUUAUUUAUUUAUUUAUUUUUGUCUUUUUCAUUUUUAUCGGUACCAGGGAUCGAACUCAUUACCACCUGCUUGCAAGGCAGGUACUUAUGCCGCUGAGGUAAAUCCCCAGCCCCGAAAGAAUUUAUUGAGAGAAAGAAAAUUUCUAAGAGGAACAGAAAGAGCCCCAGAAGUGAGUUUGCCUAUGUUUUCCUUUUUUGAGACAGGGCCUUGCUAUAUAGUUCAAGCUGCCUUGUACUCACUAUGUAGUCCAGGCUGUUGGGAUCACUGAACUCACAGUGAUCCCCCUGUCUCAGCCUUCUGAGUGCUAGGAUUACAUGCCACUAUGCCCAGUUUUGAAAGCUAAAUAUUGCAAGAGAUGCUGGGGAUAUGAAGAAGAUUCAUGCAGAGUUUCUGCUUGUAGAGGUCAGUUGGGAGAUAGACAAUUAGAAGUUAACACAAAUAUGUGCUGAGAGAGAAAACAGUGAAUUAUGGGAGCAGAGAAGAGGAAACUACAGAUUGUCUAGAGAUGGCAGGAGGUAAGAGGAGCCGUAACUGACCAGCAGGCAUUUGCCAUAUAGAGCGGGAGGAGCUGUUUGCACAAAGGAACAGAUAUGAAGGGAUAACAAAAGACUGGUAGUAACACCAAGACAUUAUUGUCUUUUUUAAUUCCUCUCAUGAGAAUACUGUGGUUUCCAGAGGUUUUGUGAUUCAUCGCCACAGAUUCAAUACAGAAGCAGAUACAAGAAUACAAUUUUAGGCUGGGGAUAUAGCUCAGUGGCACAGUGCCUGCCUGGCAAGCACAAGGUUGUGAGUUUGAUCCUGGCAAGCACAACCGCAGAUUUUCAAAAAUAUGGAAUAAUACCAUUCUUCUCAUUAAGCUUUUUUCUUUGUUUUGGAAGAUAUGGAUAUUUUCCAUAACAAUGUUUUAAAUGUUAACAGGCCUAUUUGUUAAUUAAUUAAUAUGUAAAUGUUUUUAAAUUUCUCAGUUUUGAUUCCUAGGAUAAUUACUGAUAAAUAAUUCACAUAAACAUAAGCUCGAGUCCUCAAUAAUUUUUGAGAGUGUAAAGAGGGUCCUGAAACUCAAAGUUUUUGUUUUUUGGGGUACUGGGAAUCAAACUCAGGAUGUCACAUUUGCCAGGCAGGCACUGUGCUAUUGAGCUAAAUCCCCAACCUGAAACCCAGAAUUUUGAUAAUUCUGUUCCAGGCAGUGGGGCAUUACCUACCUCUGUCUGUCUGUCUGUCUGUCUGUCUGUCUUUGUUGGGGAUGGAACCCAGGGCCUCGUGUAUGCUAGGCAAGUGCUCUACCACAGAGCUAUACCUGCAGCCCAUGGAAAGGAUUUUAAUAGAGGAAUGACGUGACAGCAUUUGACUUCAUUCGAUAAAUAAAUUCAACAAAUAUUUGAAUUUGCCUUAGCCUCCGGAGUAUGGGAUCAGAGGUAUGUGGGACCACAUCCAGCCUUCAACAAAUAUUUAUUAAAUGGGUGCUUUGUGUUGAAUACUAUCCUACUGCUGGCAUAGAGCAGUAAACAUCAGAUAAAACUCCCUGUUUUUACAUAACUGAAAUCCUGAUAGGGGUGACAGACCACAAACAAAAUAAUUUAAAAAUAUGUUUAGAUAGUGACUGUGGAGAAAACCAGGGAACCAGGACAUGAAAUGUGAGGUGUGUGUGUGUAUGUGAGAGAGAGAAAGAGAGAGAGAGAGAGAGAGAGAGAGAGAGAGAGAGAGAGAGAGAGAGAGAAAGAGAGAGAGAGAGUGUCUGUCUGUCUGUGAAAUUUAGGAUCAAGUGGCUGGGAAGACCUCAGUUAAGAAAGUGAACGUUUUGCAAAGAAUGGAAGGAGUAAGGCAGUGGAUCAUGCAGCUUUCAAGAGAAAAAUGUUUAGGAAGAGGAAAUAGCAAGUAUGAAAUUCUGGAGACGAGCAUGUCUGGCAGGUUUGGAGGACAACUCGGAGCCCGGCGUGGCCAGCAUGGAAGAGGAGGCGUAGGAGAAGAGGAAGGUUACAGAGGUGGAAGGUUCUGAGACAUCUGCUUUGCAGCAGCAGCCUCGCUGUGGUUGCUGGGCAGGGGAAGGUUGAGGCCAUGGUAGCUGGGAGGUGCUGCCUUCCUCCAGGCGCAAGAUAAAUGACCUGGGCCCGCGAACAAGGGGAUAUAGUGAGGGUCUAGCUGGAUUCUUGGUACAGUCUGAAGGUAGAACUAACAAAAUUUGGCAAUGGGUUUAAUAUGAAGUAUGAAGAAGAGAGGAAAACCAAAUGAUGCCAAACUUCUUACCUGAGCAACUAGAAGAAGAGUUGCCUUUAUCAGACACAAGAUGAGAAAGGUGGGUUUGCAUAAAAAUAUCAAGAGCUCAGUUUGGACCUCCCUCCACCCCCAGUUAGAGACACAUUAAGUAGGAGACGUCUAUCAAACACCCAAGUGGACAGGGCAAGCGGGCCAUGUGAUAUGUGGCCUGAGUCCAAGACAGAGGUCAAAUGGAAUGGAAUUGGGAGGUUCUCAGAAUAAAGACAAUAUUUAAAAGUUCAGGGACCAGAAGAAAUGACUUGGGAAAUAAGUGAAUGUAAAAAAGAGCUCUAAUGACUGGGUCCAAGGAAAGCUGUAAUAUUUAGAGAUUAGAAAAAUGAAGGGGAAUCAGCAAAAGAUGUGGAGAAGGAACAGUCAAAAUGAAGAAAACUCAGGGAGAAAUCCUGGAAGCCAAGUGAAGAAAGUGUUUUAAGAAAAGGAGGAGUAAUUGGGGGCUGGGGAUUUAGCUCAGCGGCAUAAGCACCUGCCUUGCAAGCAGGCGGUCGUGAGUUUGAUCCCUGAUGCCGAUUAAAAAAAAAAAGGGAAAAGGAGGAGUAAUUAACCGUGUCAUGAAGAUCAACUAAUAGGAAGAUCAAGAAAAGCUUAUUAAGCUGUGCAUGAUGGAGGACACUUGUCAUCCUCGCACCCAGGAGGCUGAGGCAGGGAUAUCACUGCAAGCAGACUACAGCAAUAACAAAAGGUAUUGCAAGAAUCCUAUAAACGUUAUGAAUCAGCUGCUCUGUGGAAGGUUCUGUGCUGAAUGAGACAGUCUUCAAGUAAAAAAGCUAUGACUGAGCACACUUAAGAUGUGACAAAUAACCACAACUUGUCACACCGGGCUGUAGGGUUGUGGAGGGAGUGAGGUCACUCUGCCUGGGGAGCUCAGGGAGAUGAAGGAAGGCUCCUAAGGGAUGUCACUUUUGAGAUAUGCUGUUUUAUAUGUAUUGUACUACUAGCAUUACUAUACUGUACUUAAAAACUAGAAACAACAGAAGACUAUCGUAAAAUUUUAACUGGUAGAGAACGCAGGGUAAACUGGGAGUGGUAACCCCCACCUGUAAUUUGAACACUCUAGGAGGUUGAGGCAAGAGAGUCAUAAAUUGAAACCCAAUUUAGCAAUUUAGCAAAACACUGUCUCAAAAUAGAAAAUAAAAUAAAAAGGACUGGGGGUAUAGCUCAGUAUAAAAGCUCUGGGUUGUUCAAUACCCAGUGUGGGGGGGAAAAAAAAAAGGACAGUAAAGGCACUGGUGGAAGGGUCUGAAUGUUCAUGUUCAGGAUCCAGUAAAGUCUCAAUUAUAGCUCAAUACCUCAUGCUGGUCUCAGGAUCCAGCCCCAAAUGACCUGCGGGACCUGCCAAUUGUGUUUUUCCCAUGAGAGAUAUGCAAAGCCGUGCAUCUACAAUGGAGCACUGUGCACUUAUUUUAAAAAAUGAGGAAGUACUUUAUGACUUAGGAAAUUAUUUCCAAAUUGUAACGUAAAAUGGAAGAAAAUCAAGGUGCAGAAUUCUGUACUUGGUAUGCCACUAUUGAUAUGAUACUGGGAAAAAAGAAUGAAUGUGUAUGUCCAAUUGCUUGUUUACAAGAAGCAGAUACAGCAAUUAAUUGUCCCCUGGAGGGGAGUUAUGUGGCUUCUGGACAAGGUGGGAGGGAGAGUUUCACUGUAUAUCUUUUUUCAUCGUUUCAGGUUAUUUGUUGUUGUUUGGCUUUUUUUGUCUUUUUGAGACAGGGUCUUGCUAUGCAGUUCAGGCUGGGCUUGAGCUCACUUUGUAGCCCGUGCUGGUCUCGAACUGGCAAUGAUUCCCCGGUCUCAGCCUCCCAAGUGCUGGGAUUACAGGAGUGAGCCACCACACCCAGCCUUUCAGUUUUUAAUCAUGAGACAUUUUUAAAAGUAAGUAUUGUAAGGUAUGAUGGUGCACACCUGUGAUUCCUGCACUCGAGGCUGAGGCAGAAGAACCACUACAAGUUUGAGGCCGUCCUGGAUGACACAGUGAGUUCAAGGCAGGUCUGAACUUCAUAAUGAGACCCUGUCUCAAAACAAAAACAAAAACCAGAAUAACAACCUAAAAAUAAAAGCCUAAAAUAAUUAAAUAAAUGGAUGAAUGAAUUUAACUGUAAUCAUGUCUAAAGACCAUAGAAAAGAGGCCAGAAUGUAUUCAAAUAUAGCAUAAGCUAUGGCAGUUUAUUUAGGUGGCAGUUUAAAAAAAUCCAGACCUUCAUCUUGACAGCAAAGAAAUGGAGUUAUUAGAAAUAAAGUUAUAAGAAACUUCCCAAAAAUUAAUUUAAAUGUUUGCUUUCAAUUUUUUAAAACUUAAAAACAGCUCUAAUCAAUAAGAAAAAGACCUGUAACUCAAUUCAAAAUGGCAAAUAGAUAAAUUGGGCUUUAUGUAAAUAGAAAUAUAAGUGGGUUUUAUAGUGAUCUUUUAAAUAACUAUCCUCAUUUGUUAAGAAAGAAAAGCGAAUUAAAACAGUGGGCUGCUGACUGUGAUGGUGCACACCUGUAAUCCCAGCACUUGGGAGGCUGAGGCAGGAGAUCACUGCAAAUUUGAGGCCAGUCUGAGCUCACAGUGGGCUCAAGGCCACUUGAACUAAAUAGUGAGACCCUGCUCAAAAACUGAACAAAACAAUGAGCUGCUUCUUUUUCACCAAACUGCAAAUACCAAUUACUAAAAGUCAGUUGUGACUGAGUGUUCAAGAGAGCGUGGUAGAACACUUGUCCCAGGGGCUGUGGUACUGUCGUACAAUGACCACUCUGGAGCAUGGCGGAGCAGUCCCUGGCUACGUUGCAGAUGGGCAUCCUUCAACCCAUAAUUCUGACUUGGAGAAUUUGUCUGACAUGGAGACCUUGCAUGUGUACAGAGACAAGUACAGUCUGUACAAUCAUUUGUCGCAGUAUUCUUCGUCAUUACAAAAGAUGGAAACCUAGCUAUUUUCCAGCUGAGAAAGUGCUACAUCAAAUAGGAACCCAAAGGAGCUGUGGUGAAGAAUGAUGUGGCUCCGUGUUUUCUUCUGAUAGACCUCAGCAUAGGCCUUUCUUCAUCUCUGACUUGGACUACAGCAGGAGCUCCCGCCAUCUCCUCGCCUUCCCUGUGCCCUCUUCUAGGACCUGCUAGGUAAUUUAUAAGGCCCAGUGCAAAACAGAAAUGCAGGAACCUUUGUUAAAAAUAGUGAGGGUAUCAAUACGGUGGUGGCAGAGCAUUAAGACAAGUGUGGGGGUGGCUGGGGGUUUAGCUCAGCGGCAUAAGCGCCUGCCUUGCAAGCAGGCAGUCCCGGUACCGAUAAAAAGGAAAAACACACACAAAAAAAAAAAAAAAAAAAAAAAAGACAAGUGUGGGGCCUUGUGUGACUACAAAGGUCACAAGCGCAUGAAGCUGGCCCUGCCCCUUGAAUGACGCUCAGACACCACCAUCCCUUUUUCUGUAUUGUGUGAUACCUGCUUGUCAAGAAACAACUUCAGAGUGACCUGCGUUACCAAACUCUCCUUGAACCCUUUCAAGUCAUUCUUUAUCAGCUUCUCGGCUCUUCCACAGCUUUUUUUUUUUUUUUUUUUCUGAGACAGUAUCUCAUGUAAUUUAGACAGGCCCUGUACUCACUGUGAGCCUCCUGCCUCGGCUUCCUGAGUGCUGGAAUUACAGGUGUUUGUCAUCCUGCCCAGCUCUCUUUAUCAUAUUUUCCUCUCUCUCUGGUCCCUCACUCUAGGUCCAUUGCUAGUUCAGACAGGGUCGAGGCUGACCUUGAACUCACUAUGUAGCCCAGGCUGACCUAAAACUUGUGAUGAUCCUCUUGCCUCAGCCUCUAGUGCUGGGACCAUAGAUGUAUGUCAACAUGUUUGGCUCAACUGAUCUUUUACAUAUAGAAGUUUCUCAGGGCAGCUACCAGCCUCUUCUCUCUCUCUAUUCUUUUCACACUAAGAGGUUUCAUCCAUUGCUACAGUUUCAAAUACUAUCUGUGGCUCAACAACCCCCCAGUUUUUAUUUCUAACCUGGGUCUUGAUCCCACACUCCUAGAUCAGACUGUUUCCUCCACACCUAUCCUUGGCUCUCCUGGGAUUCCUAACUGGCAAGGGAACAAAGCCAAGCUCAUGAUGCUCCCUCUCAUGCUCUUGUCUUCCCACAGUUUAGGGGUAGGUCUCCGUCUCCCCGGUACUCAUCCCAGAGCUCCAGGAGCAUCUCUGGUAACUCUGUUUCCCCCUUGGGGGCCACUCAAUAGUUUAUCCUUACCGAUUCUGCCUCAUGCAAGAUUCCCCCAGGCCUCCAGGCGAGGCUACACGCACCAACCUCUCCCUUCACACAGCACCUGGUACCUCACAGUACCUCUCUACAUGUUUAUGUUGUACUUAAUUUGUGUAGUCCCAUCUCCCCCUCUACAUGACAGACUCUAUCAGUACAAGGGUCACGUCUGACUUGCUUCUGCCAUAUAGUAGGUGCUCAACAUAUAUAUACAUGUAUAUAAUAAAGUACAUAUAAACUGUAUAUAAUAUAUAAUACAUAAUAUAUGUGUAUAUAUGUAUUAGUCCUAUAUACAUAUAUUAUUCCUAUAUUUUCUAGGCUGGCCUUGAACUCACUAUAUAGUCCAGACUGGCCUCGAAGUUUCGGGGAUCCUCUUGCCUCAGCCUCCUGAGUGCGGAGAUUACGGGUUUGCGCUAUCACGCCCAACUCAACAAAGAGCAAAUGUGUUUAUGGCAGGAUUUAUGUAACGCCUGUGCUGUGUGCACAGUAGGGGGCAGCAGAGUAUAGGUGAUGGAAAGAGUCCAGUCCUCAGGUUUUGGUUUGUUUUUUGGUUUUUUGUUUUGUUUCUCCGGUUUGGUUUUUUGGAUUUGAAUGGAACUCUAGACCACGCGUUUGCCAGGCAGGCGCUGUGCUCAGGCUUAAAUUUAAGGAUAACUUUAGACAAGUCACUUAACCUUCCGGAGACCCUAUUUCCUUCCCUGGAAGUCAGAGCCAGUUCUCCUUCCCUUUGAUCAGAGGAGGUAAUUAGAUGCAGAAGGGCUGCACACAGGCCGGAGAGUUUUAUCCCAGCUAAGAUAAAUAUUUGUUGCUCGCACGGAGACAGACGAAGAGGACCCAGGUUUUGUGACUUUGGAACAGAUUUGCGUAAAGGCUCGACCCAUUCCGAGAGCGAGACCGCCCAAAGUCCAGAGCCAGCCUGAGGCUCGGCUGUGGGGUCAGCGCCCUGCGGGUGGGCCGGCAGCUCUGCCCCCUCCCUGCCCGCGGCGUCCCUGCGCUGCCCCCAGGGCGCUCUCCUUUGCCUCCCCCAGGCGUAGAGGGUGCUCGCUGCCUGCCCUCACAGCUCUCUCCCUUUCCUCCCCGGCAUAGACGCUGCUCCCUGCAGUCCGCAUACAACCAGGUUGAAGGUUCCCAGUCACAGGAGCAGGCCUUCCGGAGACAGAGGAAAUAGCCGGCUCAAGAGGAGAAAAUUCCAGGAUCUCAGCAAGUUGCCCAUGUUUGACAAAGGUGCCAAACACAUUCACUGGAAGAAAGAUAGCCUCUUUAAUAAAUGGUGCUGGAAAAGCUGGCUCUACACACAUGGAAGAUUAAAACUGAACCCAUAUAAAAUCCGAAUGGAUCAAAGAUCUAAAUAUUAAGACAGAAAUAUUAAAUGUGCUGGAAGAGAGAGUUAGGUAAAGCUCUUGAAGACAUUGGUGUAAACAAAGACUAUGAACAAAACUCCGAUUGCACAGGAACUAUUAUGAAGAAUCAACAACUGAGAUCUCACCUUACUAAAAAGCUUUUGCACAGCAAGAGAAACCACCAAUAGAGUGAAGAGACAACCCACAAUGUGGGAGAAAAGUUUGCCAGCUGUUCCUCAGACAAAGCAUUACUAUUGAGAACAUAUAAAGAACUCAAAACAAUCAGUCCUCCCAGAUUUAAAGACCCAAUCCAAAAAUGGGCAUCUGAGAUGAAUACACACUUCUCAGAUAAAGAAAUACAGACAGCAAAUAAAUAUGUGAAAAAAUGUUAAAUAUCAUUGGUCACUUGAGAGAUGCAAAUUAAAGCAACACAGAUUCCCUUCACCCCAGAAAGAAUGGCUAUUAUCAAGAAAUCAACCAAUAACAAAUGCUGGAGGGCUUGUGAGGAAAAA